GCUUUUGCUCUAAUGAGAGCCACACAGUCUGCUCUGUAUUUCUACUGUAAAUGAACAGCCUUUCACUGAGCGCAGCCUGGCUCUGCUGAAGUCGAUGGGGGUUCCUUUGACCUCCACAGCAUUUGAGUGUCAGCCUGUUCCUCAAAUGAGUGUCAGAAAGUUCCCAGUGACAGCAGCUAAAGCCUUGGCAUUUGGCUAAAUGUGUGUGCAAAGCUGGUACUACUGGUGAUGCAGCCAGCUCUACUUACAUGAUGAGGGCAGAUCACAGGGGAAUAGUAUCCGAAAGCUUUUCUCACAAAUCCUUUGGGGAAGACAGGAUGCUGAUGCAGCAGGCCAACAUAUAUACUGUUUUAUCUUCUAUCAGGAAGUGCACACUUUACAACACGUUGCAAUAGAGCAACAGGGUUAUGAAUAUUCCACUACAUGGUGUAUGUUAAAUAACAGCAUCCGGACUUUACUGAGUUUAUUUUAUAACUGAAAGCACUUGGUAAUAUCUUUAAUAAAAAGGCACAAAAAUACUGCUGCAUAAUUCAGUGAGAAUUGCCUUGGUGAGUACUUACAUUAGAUACGAAAUCAUAUUUUUGGGGUUCUUAACAUCAUUCUGUUUUCUUAGGAAAGCAAUGUUGUCUAAGUUUCUUUGACUAAAGCUUGCAGAAACUACAGAGUAUUGCCAGGCAUGUGCUGCCAGGA